rnacentral:lncRNA from 1 species
CUGCUGUAAUUUUAAAGGUAUAUGAGAAGACAGUUGGAGCCAGGCAACUUGUGUUUCUAGUGUCAUACAGGACAGGGAGGACCACGGACUCGCUCCAGGGGUUGGAGAAGUUGACUGGGAAGACACCCGGCCCUAAGCAGCAGAAAGAAGAAUCCCCAAGGCUAAGAGCAGUAGCACUGAAACCUCCCCCAGCUGCAAAGCUCUGCGGCCUAACCAGAAGCAGUUGGGUCAGUGAACCUUCCCAGC